rnacentral:lncRNA from 1 species
CUUGUAUGGCCUCUUAGUGUGCAGCUGUCUAACAGAUGUGGUCUCUCUACAGGGGCUGGGAAAACCUUACAGGAGAUUGACCGUGGACCCCACAGGCCCUGCUCAGGUGUCCAGCAACAGUGCACCUCCCUCCUGCCAUGCAACCUCCGGCACAGACCGCUCUUUCCGAUGAGGUGCUCCUGCCAAGGUGGAUGGAGGAGGAAGGCUGAGGCUGUUGUGCAGCCUCCUACCCUCCUUGGCCUUCUUCCUUGGUGGCUGAUCCAGAGAAGGACAUGUGGGAGGAUGACCAACCUUAUCAUGGGUUUGAGGACCCAGGGAGGCAGGCGUGUUCUGCCGGCACCUUAUUUGCAAAAUUCCAUUGAAUUCAAACCACAGCCCUAUGAGAUGGAGGUUAAUUAUCUCCAAGCUGCACACAAGAAGUGCACCCGAAGAAAAGUUUGAUGAAGUAACCCAGACCGCAGGGUUACACUAUGACCACAUGGCUUCCUGUGAGUCCUCGACAGAAGUACAACCCAUGAGUGGAUCCACUGGGCCCCAGAAGUGGGUGUUCAUUCCCCCUGAAUUUGCCCUAACAUCAUAUGCUGCUACAGCUUCUUAAAAAGACUAGAAACCCAGCUAGUAUACAGAAUAUAAAAUGACACUUCGGUGAGCCAUCAACUUCCUAGUUUAUUUAAAAGGGAAAUAAAAGAUCGGGGAGGCGAUGCUAAGUCUGUUUUUUUUUUGUUUGUUUGUUUGUUUGUUUUUUUCAGUUGAAUUGGCAAGUCUUAUUUCUUCUUUUUUUUUUUAUUAUUUAUUUUCCCACUGUAAGCAAGGGGGUCAGGUUAUCCUUACAUGUAUACAUUACAAUUACAUUUUUCCCCUACCCUUUGUUCUGUUGCAACAUGAGUAUCUAGACAUAAUUCUCAAUGCUAAGUCUGUUUUCUGCAUCUCCUGGUCAAGCAGCUGCCUCUUCCAUGAUGAGACCAGGCCAGGGAUUGCUGGGGGCGGUCAGCAUCUCCAGGGCAUGGCCCAGCCAAUGAAGCCACCUGCGUACUGCCUUGCCCUCUGCUGCCUGAUUUCUCAGAAACCAGUAAGGGAGAUUGCUUUUGUUAGCUUGUGGCCACCAGGUUCUCAGGCUGGACCUGGCUCUUGAGGAGCUUUGGAGGGUCUUCCGUGGCUGCUCAAGGGGUCCCAGGGCAGACAUGUGACCCGCGGUCUGUGAUCUGCACUUACAGUUUCCGGAGGGAGGAGUCAUCUAAUGAGCUUCAGAAAGACUCCCGAAACUGUGACUCAUGGUGCCAGCGUCGUAAGAAUAAAGCAAGGAUGUUGAUUAUGAAAGACA